ensembl:lncRNA
CCUCUUGAAACUUUGCCCUCUCUUUAUGGGGGCCAUAAAGGUUAUUUUUUAAUCGCACCCCAGCGGGGUCCCCUGUGCUCUGCAGUGGGGUCCUUGGCCUGGGGACAGUUGGCAUCACUGCUCUUUGCCCUUGUGUAGGUUCAGAAGGUUGGGGUGGGUUGGGGUAAGGCGUCAGGGUGCCGAGCAGCACCAUGCUGGCUGCCCUCAGCUUUGCACCUCUGUGAGCCCAUAUGAACAUCCUAAAGCCUUCAGCAUUGCCCAGGCAACAUUUCCAGCUGGAAAGAGAGCACCCACCCAAGGAGAAUAGGGCAUCCUGCUGAGCCAGCAGUUUCCUAUCAGCCACUGACAGAGAUAAGGAGCCAUCACCUCCCCGUACAGCUCCCAUCUCUCUGCUUGUUAAAUACCUGCUCAAAGCUCUCCUUUCCUUCCAGGCAGCUUUUCCUAUCAGCAUUUUCUCCAGCUCUUAAACAUGCCCUGAACCAAAGCGCUUAUGUUUGUUGCAACGAUUCGCCGUGCCAUUGGAAACCCCAAAUUGAAACCCGUCGGGUGGGUGAUGUGGCAAUGGGCUAUGGGUGAGGGGUCAGCUGUGCUGAAACCUCUUUUCUUUCCCUUUUUUUUUUUUUUUGUAUCUGUGAGAAGGACAGGGCAUCCCCUCCGCCCCAUGGCACAGGGUGAGGGAGGAGGUGGGAGCAGGAGGAGCCCCACUCCGCUACGGGGCACCCCUUUGCACAUCCCAGCCCCACAUCGACCACCGUCCGAGGUGGCUCAGCGCGAUGCAACCCCAUCGCCGUGCCCAAAGGCUCUCCCUCCAACGCACCUCCUAUCGACGUCGCCCCGAUUUCCAGCAUCGCUGCGUUGAAAAAUGGCAGGGGAGGGUUUGGCAGCGCGGCCGCGCGUGGAUUAUUCAACAAUUGUUUCCCAUUUUGCGCCCUCGCCUGCCUCAUCCUCCAGUAACAAUGACGAAGAGCGGCGCGGAGCCAGCGCCCGCGGCAGGGGUGUUGAGAUCAGGGACAGCACAAAAAUAUCUUCUCUCUGGAACAAAUAUUUACCAACCCUUCUGCCUUUUGUUCUUGUGGUUCUCAUAUUUUUUUUCCAGACAUUCACUGGCAAAAUGUCACAUUAAACAGCAACCCAGAAACUUCGGGGUAGCUGCUUGGCUGCUCUGGGCUUUGUUUUUCUCGCGCGUUAAUUGUUAAUGAAUUUCCAGCCAUUCAAGCCAACACAAACCUGUGAGAAAAAG